CUUUGCAGGAAACAGGGCUCAAGGUGAACCAGCCAGCGUCCUUUGCGGUGCAGCUGAAUGGUGCACGGGGCGUGAUCGAUGCCAGGGUGCACACGCCCUCAGGAGCCGUGGAGGAGUGCUACGUCUCCGAGCUGGACAGUGACAAGCAUACCAUCCGCUUCAUCCCCCACGAGAAUGGUGUCCAUUCCAUCGAUGUCAAGUUCAAUGGUGCCCACAUCCCUGGAAGUCCCUUCAAGAUCCGUGUUGGA